rnacentral:rRNA from 2 species
UCCGUAGGUGAACCUGCGGAAGGAUCAUUACCUAGAGUUUGUGGGCUUUGCCUGCUAUCUCUUACCCAUGUCUUUUGAGUACUUACGUUUCCUCGGUGGGUUCGCCCGCCGAUUGGACAAUUUAAACCCUUUGCAGUUGCAAUCAGCGUCUGAAAAAAAUUAAUAAUUACAACUUUCAACAACGGAUCUCUUGGUUCUGGCAUCGAUGAAGAACGCAGCGAAAUGCGAUAAGUAGUGUGAAUUGCAGAAUUCAGUGAAUCAUCGAAUCUUUGAACGCACAUUGCGCCCCUUGGUAUUCCAUGGGGCAUGCCUGUUCGAGCGUCAUUUGUACCUUCAAGCUUUGCUUGGUGUUGGGUGUUUGUCUCGCCUUUGCGUGUAGACUCGCCUCAAAACAAUUGGCAGCCGGCGUAUUGAUUUCGGAGCGCAGUACAUCUCGCGCUUUGCACUCAUAACGACGACGUCCAAAAGUACAUUUUUACACUCUUGACCUCGGAUCAGGUAGGGAUACCCGCUGAACUUAAGCAUAUCAAUAAGCGGAGGA